UACGUAGGGAGCAAGCGUUGUCCGGAAUCAUUGGGCGUAAAGCGCGCGUAGGUGGCUUCGUAAGUCCGUUGUGAAAGUCAAAGGCUCAACCUUUGAAUGCCGAUGGAUACUGCAGAGCUAGAGUACGGAAGAGGCGAGUGGAAUUCCUGGUGUAGCGGUGGAAUGCGCAGAUAUCAGGAGGAACACCAAUAGCGAAGGCAGCUCGCUGGGACGUUACUGACACUAAGGCGCGAAAGCGUCGGGGAAGCGAACGGAGGA
rnacentral:rRNA from 1 species